rnacentral:lncRNA from 1 species
AAGAAAAGGUUUAUGGUUGAGAGGAAAUAACACGGUUAAAGUUUUAGGUUUGAAAUUUAGAGUUUGUGACGAAAUUGUCAGGGUUUAGAAAAAAUCAGGGUAGUUAGUUAUGAAAAAAAAUGUGGAGAUCUAAAUUAUAAUUAAAAAACAAAAAUAAUAAUAAAAAGAAAGAAAAAAAACCAUCAGGUAAUCAUCACGUGGUAGAGUAGUAAUUGAUUCAUAUUACUUAAAAAAAAAUUGAUUGUAAAUUAUUAGUAAAAACUAUCAUUAGUAAAUUAUAAGAAAAAUA